rnacentral:rRNA from 1 species
UUUUUUAAUUGAAAACUUGUAUGAAAGGUUGAACAAAAAAUUAGCUGUUUUAUUAAGAAUAAUAGAAUUUUACUUUUUAGUUAAAAGGCUAAAAUUUAUUUAAAAGACGAGAAGACCCUUUAGAGUUUAAUUUACUAAUUUAUUUAUUUAAAAUAGAAAAUUUAUAAUAAAAUAAAUUAUUUUAUUUUAUUGGGGUGAUAUUUAAAUUUAAUAAACUUUUUUUAUUUUUUACAUUAAUUUAUGAAUAAUUGAUCCAAUUUUAUUGAUUAAAAAUUUAAAUUACCUAAGGGAUAACAGCGUAAUUUUUUCUUAGAGAUCUUAUCAAUGAAAAUUUUUGC